GGGGAAUAUUGGACAAUGGGGGGAACCCUGAUCCAGCAACGCCGCGUGAAGGACGAAGGCUUUCGGGUUGUAAACUUCUUUGAUCGGGGACGAAUGAUGACGGUACCCGAGGAACAAGCCACGGCUAACUACGUGCCAGCAGCCGCGGUAAUACGUAGGUGGCGAGCGUUAUCCGGAUUUACUGGGUGUAAAGGGCGUGCAGGCGGGUCUGCAAGUUGGAUGUGAAAUAUCCCGGCUUAACUGGGAGGGGUCAUCCAAAACUGCGGAUCUUGAGUGCUGGAGAGGAUAGUGGAAUUCCGAGUGUAGCGGUAAAAUGCGUAGAUAUUCGGAGGAACACCAGUGGCGAAGGCGGCUAUCUGGACAGUAACUGACGCUGAGGCGCGAAAGCGUGGGGAGCAAAC
rnacentral:rRNA from 1 species